GGCUGAAAAAUCUGGUGGCCGCAUCUGCCAGUGCAUCCAUCACCAGGGUUGAUUCAGUUUCUCUGGCUGUCUAGGCAUGAGUUCCUUCCCUUACCAUCCCAUGUGUAUCCUUCCUGAAGCCGUGCACGUGGGCCAGGAGAAUGGCCUCCCCUGAUGGAGGAGUUCCAUCAAGGGCAUAUCAGCAAUUGGGUUGCCCUGCUGGAACCUCUGAGAAAUAGCCAACUCCUAUGUCUCCCUCUGAGCUACAUGGCCACCGUCUUGUGAAAUGUGUUCAGGCUACACCAACAAAUAAUAUCAGAAAGAGCGUAAAAUCUAUUGGUUUGUUUU
rnacentral:snRNA from 1 species